GGAAACGACUGCUAAUACCCCAUAUGCCUACGGGUGAAACGGUGAAUUCCGCCUGAAGAUGAACUCGCGUCAGAUUAGCUAGUUGGUGGGGUAAGGGCCUACCAAGGCGACGAUCUGUAGCUGGUCUGAGAGGAUGAUCAGCCACACUGGGACUGAGACACGGCCCAGACUCCUACGGGAGGCAGCAGUGGGGAAUUUUCCGCAAUGGGCGAAAGCCUGACGGAGCAACGCCGCGUGCGGGAUGACGGCCUGUGGGUUGUAAACCGCUUUUCUCAGGGAAGAAGAUCUGACGGUACCUGAGGAAUCAGCAUCGGCUAACUCCGUGCCAGCAGCCGCGGUAAUACGGAGGAUGCAAGCGUUAUCCGGAAUUAUUGGGCGUAAAGCGUCCGCAGGCGGCUUAUCAAGUCUGCUGUUAAAUGUCGGGGCUCAACUCCGAUUUGGCAGUGGAAACUGAUAGGCUAGAGUACGGUAGGGGUAGAGGGAAUUCCCAGUGUAGCGGUGAAAUGCGUAGAUAUUGGGAAGAACACCAGUGGCGAAGGCGCUUUACUGGGCCAUAACUGACGCCGAUGGACGAAAGCU
rnacentral:rRNA from 1 species